UUUCUAGUACUUCCUGUUGAUUGCAGUUCUUCUGCAUUUUUCAGUUUCUUUGUUAAUGGAUAUUAUGUGUCUCUGGUGUGUUCACCUGAAUUGUUUCUCUUUGUUGAUCAGACAUGUUUGGUGGUUAAUAUGAGUUCACUCACCUUCUUGAAUAUUGUCUACCAUCCAGUAUAUUGUCGAACCUGCUAGUAUUUUAAGUAGCUGGAGUAAACCAACUGAUCAAAGAAGAAAUUCUAACCAAAUAUCCUGGUUCUUGAUAUAUAGCAGCAAUAUCACUGGCAGUCUUUGCCAUGGACUCUCGUUUACUUUCAAAAAUCAUGUUUAAGCCGAUGCAUUUUGCUGGAAAAUUAUGUUCCUAUGAUGGCAAGUACUCAGCCAGGUAGAGCCGAUAAGCAUAAACCUAAACUGGGGUUCGCAUGAUGUGCCAAGUUUGCCGAAAGGAAGGAGCAUAUACAUGACACUGCUGAUAAUGAUUUUGGAAGAAGAAAGCAAACAGCGUCGACAAAGAUGCUAAGGGACUUAUACCCAUAGUCCCAUAUGUAGCCCAACCACUAACAGGUUUCAAUUCCCUAAAUGAUAGCAAAGGACAUGCAGAAUGCCGAUAUGUUGAUGUUGACUAUCACGGAUCAUCCACAGAAGGUGCAAACAAGAGCACUUAGAUAAAUUGUAGACUUCGAAUUUAUAAUCCGUGUUCUUACAUAAGAAUCAGACAUUAUAGUGCCCAUACUCACCGAUAUUCUUCACCUCAACAAUUCUUUCUCAUUCUAUCAGACAAUAAUCUUUUAUACUUUUCUGUGCAAAAAUUAUUUUCCAAGCCCAUCUCUGGAUAAAAAGGCCAUGGAAUGGGAAUUUAGGGCAUAUGCCAAGGCAACACAUGUGCUUUGC